UAUAAAUAUCCACAUAUGAACGUACAUCAUCAAGUAUACAACUCAUUCAAGAAAAUAUGUCAGAUAUAUCAUCAGUUUAAAUUUUUUGUUCAAUAGUGAUUUUAUAUAUAUUAUCUUCCAUUAUUAACUAGAUUUCUAAUAACUAAAUAUCUUUCUGAUUUGGACUAUCCACGGUCGUACUUCGAGCUGUGACUGACAAAUCUUAAUUCUAUGCUUCAACCCAAGGUGGCAAACCAUAACACUGCGCUUCAGCUCGUGGUGGCAAACCAAGAUAUCCGUGCUUUGGCCCAUGGCGGCAAACCAAAAUAUCCGUACUUUGGCCUAUAGUGGCAAAACAAUGUGUCAUAAUUCGGCCCAUGACGGGCAAUCUAUGGCAUGUCUAAUACAAAUAUUUUCAUCCAGCAAUUACAUUAUUCAAUUUCAUCCAUGCUAGAGAAAAUAUAAAUUCAUAUUAUAUUCCUUGCCAAAUUCCAAAAUAAGUAGCAUCAUAUUCCAAACAACCAAAAUCAUAGUCCAAGCAACCAAAAUCAUCGAUAUUUGAAAUGUUUGUUUAAUAAAAAAUAUAUAUUUUUUAUAUAUUCAUAUAAGAGAUUGUCAAUAAUCAUGCAGCAAAUAAUGCAAAAUUCAAGAUCAUCAACACAUGUUACAAAAUACAUAUUAUUCAUAUAGGUGACUGUGUACAAGAUUUCUUAUCUCUACCGGUCUCAAACUCAA
rnacentral:lncRNA from 1 species